CCUACGGGUGGCAGCAGUGAGGAAUAUUGGUCAAUGGGCGUGAGCCUGAACCAGCCAAGUCGCGUGAGGGAAGACUGCCCUACGGGUUGUAAACCUCUUUUGCCGGGGAGCAACGGGCGCUACGUGUGGCGCCACUGAGAGUACCCGGAGAAAAAGCAUCGGCUAACUCCGUGCCAGCAGCCGCGGUAAUACGGAGGAUGCGAGCGUUAUCCGGAUUUAUUGGGUGUAAAGGGGGCGCAGGCGGGAUCGCAAGCCAGGCGGGAAAUCCCCGGGCCCAACCCCGGGACGGCCGUUGGAACUGGGGGGCUGGAGUGGGCGAGAGGUAGGCGGAAUGCGUGGUGUAGCGGUGAAAUGCAUAGAUAUCAGGCAGAACACCGAUGGCGAAGGCAGCCUACUGGAGUGCGACUGACGUUGAGGCACGAAAGCGUGGGGAGCGAACAGGAUUAGAUACCCGUGUAGUC
rnacentral:rRNA from 1 species